rnacentral:rRNA from 1 species
UUGGGAGCUCUCCCAUAUGGUCGACCUGCAGGCGGCCGCGAAUUCACUAGUGAUUAGAGUUUGAUCCUGGCUCAGAACGAACGCUGGCGGCAUGCCUAACACAUGCAAGUCGAACGAACCCUUCGGGGUUAGUGGCGCACGGGUGCGUAACGCGUGGGAAUCUGCCCUUGGCUUCGGAAUAACAGUUAGAAAUGACUGCUAAUACCGGAUGAUGUCUUCGGACCAAAGAUUUAUCGGCCAGGGAUGAGCCCGCGUAGGAUUAGGUAGUUGGUGGGGUAAAGGCCUACCAAGCCGACGAUCCUUAGCUGGUCUGAGAGGAUGAUCAGCCACACUGGGACUGAGACACGGCCCAGACUCCUACGGGAGGCAGCAGUGGGGAAUAUUGGACAAUGGGCGCAAGCCUGAUCCAGCAAUGCCGCGUGAGUGAUGAAGGCCUUAGGGUCGUAAAGCUCUUUUACCCGGGAUGAUAAUGACAGUACCGGGAGAAUAAGCUCCGGCUAACUCCGUGCCAGCAGCCGCGGUAAUACGAAUCGAAUUCCCGCGGCCGCC